UACGGGGGGGGUAAGCGUUGUUCGGAAUUACUGGGCGUAAAGGGCUCGUAGGCGGCCAACUAAGUCAGACGUGAAAUCCCUCGGCUUAACCGGGGAACUGCGUCUGAUACUGGAUGGCUUGAGUUCGGGAGAGGGAUGCGGAAUUCCAGGUGUAGCGGUGAAAUGCGUAGAUAUCGAGAGGAACACCUGCGGCGAAGGCGGGUAGCUGGGCCGACACUGACGCUGAGGCGCGAAAGCCAGGGGAGCGAACGGG
rnacentral:rRNA from 1 species